UCUCACUGUCGUUUUAUCUCCCAAAUCACAAACUUCAUUUGAUCUUUUACUCACAAAUCCGCUCCGUUUCUUCAUAAUGAAAUGCAAUUGAUUUGGGGAAGAGAUUGUGGUGAAGAGCGAAGGAUUGUUCAGCAAGAGAAGCUUCGCUUUGGAAUCGGAAGCAAGAGAAUAAGAAGAAGGAAAAGAAGGAGACAAGGUAUCGUGUUCGCUUGAUGCCUUUGGAAAUUCGCACCACCAGUGAUAGUGAGGGAUUCGCUAUUAAUUUUAUCACGACAACAGAAUCGAGGAAUUGUGCCAGGUUAUGAAUCCCUGAUUUCUAUCAAACCAGUCGCAUUGCAGAUAUUUGUUAGAAUCUUUUCCAAAUUUGAUGUUUGCUGGAUGAAGCUUCUAUCCAUGGGUGAUCAAACUUUCUUCGGUCUGUAUUGAUCAUGGUGUUUUUGCAUUAGAAGAGCGGGCUUGGUUCUGGGUUGGUCAUUCUCUGCAACUCUCAAUCAGGCAUUUGAUGCAUAUGUGGUUGGAAGAGAAGAUGCUCCCAGAAUCGUGGCAGUUCAAGAAUGGAGGGGUCUGGAUUUUGGAAUUAAGAAUCAUGCUUUGAAGAUUUCACAGCUUGGUUCCGGGGUUGGAGCUCUUAUCCCAGUUCAAGUAUUCUUUGUGUUCAUGCAUAUCAUGUGCUGCUUUGUGGGGGGUGAGCUCUCUUAUUAAUUUGUUGGUCUUCAACAUAUCGAGUGGGGGUGAUUUAUUUUCUGAUACUUAAUAUAUGUCUCUAUUCUUUUAAUUUCUUUUUGGGGGUUAUUUUGUAUAUCUUAGUCUAAUCUCCAAUUUUUCUUGGGGGGAGCAAAUGUACCGAAGAAGAAUAGAUUUUUCCAUGGAGAUUUUAGGGAAAUGUUGUUAUUAUGAGAAACUAUUGUGUCCAAUUUGUUCUUUGUAGCAAAAAGAGCUUGGAUUUUUAAUUUGUGUCAAAGUUUUUGUCAUGCAGUUACUCUGCCUUUUGUUGGUGUCUGGAGAACAUUUUGUAGGUGUCUGGAGAACCUUUUGUUGGUAAAUGAGUAGUGUUUGUUAUCUGUUUAA